UACGGGGGGGGCAAGCGUUGUUCGGAAUUACUGGGCGUAAAGCGCGCGUAGGCGGCUUUGUAAGUUAGAGGUGAAAGCCCGGGGCUCAACCCCGGAAUUGCCUUUAAGACUGCAUCGCUUGAAUCCGGGAGAGGGAUGUGGAAUUCCAGGUGUAGCGGUGAAAUGCGUAGAUAUCUGGAGGAACACCGGUGGCGAAGGCGGCAUCCUGGACCGGUAUUGACGCUGAUGCGCGAAAGCCAGGGGAGCAAACGGG
rnacentral:rRNA from 1 species